GAGCUAAUGAUGAGAAAUACAAUUAUCUUAGCGGAUUUCAGUGAGAUUUCUUUGAAUCAAUGAUCUGAUUUGUUACACACACUGAAGCUCUUAAUAAUUUAUUUUUUAUAAAAUGGGAUGUAAAUAAUAAUAAUAGCAGUGAUGAGGUAAAACACAUGAGGAUGUGUUUAGGGAAGUGGACAAGACGAUUAAAACCGUUUUGCCGUGAUCCCCAAUUUAAACGACUUCUCCUUCCACUGAGCUUUUUUUUUUUUAUUUUCAUUCCAACUUUUAUUCAAAAAUACAGUUUUUGUCGAUUUUGAAGAGAUAUGGUGCGUCCAUUUACCAAUUCUGGAGGAUAAGUUGGUUCCUCACGGUGUAAUGGCUCGGACGCUAUAUUAAUGUUUGUGGCCAUCCUGAUCAAUGGGUUCUCAAUACCAUUGCAUCCUGGAAACACCUCAUACAUUU
rnacentral:lncRNA from 1 species